rnacentral:rRNA from 1 species
ACGCUGGCGGCAGGCCUAAUACAUGCAAGUCGAACGGCUCUUCGGAGCAGUGGCGGACGGGUGAGUAACGCGUGGGAACGUGCCCUUUGGUUCGGAACAACACAGGGAAACUUGUGCUAAUACCGAAUGUGCCCUUCGGGGGAAAGAUUUAUCGCCAUUGGAGCGGCCCGCGUUGGAUUAGCUAGUUGGUGGGGUAAAGGCCCACCAAGGCGACGAUCCAUAGCUGGUCUGAGAGGAUGAUCAGCCACACUGGGACUGAGACACGGCCCAGACUCCUACGGGAGGCAGCAGUAGGGAAUCUUGCGCAAUGGGCGAAAGCCUGACGCAGCCAUGCCGCGUGAAUGAUGAAGGUCUUAGGAUUGUAAAAUUCUUUCACCGGGGAAGAUAAUGACGGUACCCGGAGAAGAAGCCCCGGCUAACUUCGUGCCAGCAGCCGCGGUAAUACGAAGGGGGCUAGCGUUGCUCGGAAUUACUGGGCGUAAAGGGCGCGUAGGCGGACAGUUUAGUCAGAGGUGAAAGCCCAGGGCUCAACCUUGGAAUUGCCUUUGAUACUGGCUGUCUUGAGUUCGGGAGAGGUGAGUGGAAUGCCGAGUGUAGAGGUGAAAUUCGUAGAUAUUCGGCGGAACACCAGUGGCGAAGGCGACUCACUGGCCCGAUACUGACGCUGAGGCGCGAAAGCGUGGGGAGCAAACAGG